rnacentral:rRNA from 1 species
GUUGAACGCUGGCGGCAGGCCUAACACAUGCAAGUCGAGCGAGCGGCGGACGGGUGAGUAAUGUAUGGGAAACUGCCUGAUGGAGGGGGAUAACUACUGGAAACGGUAGCUAAUACCGCAUACCAUCAGAUGUGCCCAGAUGGGAUUAGCUGGUAGGUGGGGUAACGGCGCACCUGGGCGACGAUCCCUAGCUGGUCGGAGAGGAUGACCAGCAACAGUGGAACGGAGACACGGUCCAGACGCCUAAGGGAGGCAGCAGUGGGGAAUAUUGCACAAUGGGGGCAAGCCUGAUGCAGCCAUGCCGCGUGUAUGAAGAAGGCCUUCGGGUUGUAAAGUACGUUCAGCGGUGAGGCGUUACCCGCAGAAGAAGCACCGGCUAACUCCGUGCCAGCAGCCGCGGUAAUAC